rnacentral:tRNA from 1 species
GGGGUUGUAGCUCAGUGUUAGAGUGCUUGCCUUGCAAGCAUAAGGUAAUGGGUUCAAUCCUCAACACUA